CGGCGGACGGGUGAGUAACGCGUGGGUAACCUGCCUCAUACAGGGGGAUAACAGUUGGAAACGGCUGCUAAUACCGCAUAAGCGCACAGUACUGCAUGGUACGGUGUGAAAAACUCCGGUGGUAUGAGAUGGACCCGCGUCUGAUUAGGUAGUUGGUGGGGUAACGGCCUACCAAGCCGACGAUCAGUAGCCGACCUGAGAGGGUGACCGGCCACAUUGGGACUGAGACACGGCCCAA
rnacentral:rRNA from 1 species